AGUAGAGAAAUACGUAUUAAAUUCAUUAGAAUUAUUAUUAUAAGUGAAAUUAUUAACUUUCUUGUAACACAAGUAAUGUAGAUUGCCACGUUGAUUACACAACAUUAACGUCGAUUUCUCGAUAUUUUUUUAGUUUUUUUACGUUUUUUAGUUUAUCCGAAAAAAAAAAAACAUUUUUAUCGUUUAUCGAAAGAGAUACAUAUGCUUGAGAGAUAUGUUUGUGAGUCACGUCGCGCCGUGACUAAAACGGCCGAUAAUAUCGUGAGCGAAAAACAGUGCAUCGCACGUUAAGACAUUUUACUCAUGCUGACCAUAAUUUGUUUGAAUCAGACACGACUGUGCAUAGAAGUUCCGUGAAUGCAACUGAGAGGGCGCGGGUUUAAGGGGACCAGAGAAUGACGGAGUAAUCACGAUUGAUCCUGGAUUGAUUAUCAGUCUAACAGGAUGUGGAAACCGGCGAUCAUCCCAUGGUGGGCAAUUAUUAUUUAUAAACAAUUAUGCACGAGUUGUGACUAUUAAUGAUGAUACUGGGUGAAAUAUCGACUAAUGUAAAAAUGAUGAUUGAUCGCGAUGAACGUAUAUACAAUAUUGGAUUUUAUAAUUGAGAAGAAGCUAAACUUACUCGUAAUCAGAUUACACAAAAUGUGAUAGGUCACGGAGAAAUAUCUUUAUUUUCAAAGAGAUAUUAAAGAUAUUUUAAACAGCAACACUUAUUGUUUAAGCCUUGAUAUUAUCUGUUGUGUAUUUCCCUUCAAGCUGUACGUAUCGAAGAAUAAAUUGAAAGCCACAUUAAUAUAUUUCAAUUAAUGUUAAUAGCGUUCAAGAUAAACAUGAUUGAAAAUUAAAAGCUCUCGAAAUAGAUAUUACGUGAUGAAUUACAUCGUUCAGAAAUUUGUUAGAAUGGAUUUAAAAAAAUUGAAUGAUAUAAGAAAUCACAAAAAUUAAUAAAUUCUAUAUUCAAAUCAAAUAAUCCAUAUUGUGAAAGUAAACAUAUAUGUUUUAUUAUAUUCAGUAACAAUGAAAUAAAUAUGUACCUACAUAUAUAGUUUAGUUUGACUGUGGAAAAAUACGUUCUUCUUAUUCAUCGCAAUUCCGUAACUGGAUAUUAUAACUUUAGUCUUAUAAGUACAGAUGUUUGCUAAAAACUAGCGUGUUUAGAAACCUAUAUAAUUAACGUUCUAUCUCUCUCAACAUGGAAAAAUCCUUUACGGUGUUGCACCAUUGCGAUGUCGAAUGUAUCCUGUUUUCAUAUUGAUAAUCAAAAGUAAACGUUUCCAAUGAUAUCAUUUUUUUAUUUCUUAUUUACGUAGAGUCAUCAUUAUGUAGUUUCGUUAUAAAACUGAAAUGUGGUUUUCCCAAAUAAAAAUAGUGCAAUAAGAAUUAGAACUGCAUAGUAUAAGGAAGUUGAAGCAAGAUCAGUGCCAAGGUCUGAGGUCUGAUUCCAUUCUAUUAGAUAAGCAGACUACUACUUCUACUAGAUAAGCAGAGUUCACAUGGCAAAUUAACGAAUCGUAGAAAUAUGAAUCUUAUUAAUCUUGUUAAUUAAAAAAAUUGGUAAUAUAAAAUCUUGGUAUAUUUAUAAAAAGAAAUUAUUGUCUUAUCCAACAAAUGAAUAUUUUUAUGGUAAUUUACCAGUUGAUUUGUAUAAACGCGGCAAUUAUGAAAAACGAAAAAAAAAAAA